GGCAAAACUCCCUGGAACACUGAGGGACGGAUAAAGUCGCCAAAAAAACACAAAUCAACUCCUCUGUGGCACGAACAAGUUAAAGGCCAUAAAGUCCAAGCAAUCAGCCCUAAACCAGAGCAACCUGUGCUCUCUGCAGGGAAUUUGGAAUGUCAACAAAUGUGGAAAGGAACACAGAAAUGCCUGGGCCCUUCCUCAGCUUCUACAGAACAAGGAGCUGAGCCUCACGUUUUCGGAACCGGGCCCGGCGCUCUUCUGGAGAUAGGGCAUCCAGGUCUAGGGGCAUCUGCAUGGGGAGAAGUGAAGGCAUGUACUCGCUAUUGGGGAGAUGUCAGGAAAGUGACCGGGAAGACACCUGGACCUCUUUUACACGGCUGUGCCUUCUGUCCUGUGCUGGCCUACUAAUUGGCUAAUCAAAUCUGUAACUCCUGUUUGGAAGGGAAAUGUUUUUCUACUCCUUUCCCCUAGGUUUAGUGUAUGUUUGUUUAAGACAGAGUUUUAAUUUGUACAAAAGAGCAUCAGACUCACAGCAACCAUCCUCAGCCCCCAGAGUGCUGCAGUUACAGCUCUGUGCCACCAUGCCUGGUUUAUGUGGUCCUGGAACCAAAGGCUUUAUGCCUCUACCAACUAGGAUUUGGUGGGUUUUGUUGUUUGGCUUUUGUUUGUUUGUUUUUUAGAUUUAUUUAUUAUUUACACAGUGCUCUGUCUGCAGGCCAGGAGAAGGCACCAGAUUUCAUUAGAGAUGGUUGUGAGCCACCAUGUGGUUGCUGGGAAUUGAACUCAGAAUCUCUGGAGGUGCAGCCAUGCUCUUAACCUCUGAGCUAUCUUCUCCAACCCUGUUGAUUGUUUUUUUUUUUUUUUAAACAGACUUCUUAAGCCUGGCAUGGUGACACAGGCCUAUAAUUUUUUUUUUUUUCGAGACAGGGUUUCUCCGUAGCUUUUUGGUUCCUGUCCUGGAACUAGUUCUACUAGACCAGGCUGGCCUCGAACUCACAGAGAUCCGCCUGCCUCUGCCUCCCGAGUGCUGGGAUUAAAGGCGUGAGCCAUCACUGCCUGGCCAACAGGCCUAUAAUUUAAGCAUUCAAAGAGGCAGGAAGAUUGGAGGUCAAGGUCAGCCUGAGUAUGUAACUUCAAAGCCAACCUGGUUUUCACAAGACCCUGUACAAAUAAAACAAGAACAAAACCCAAACAAGAAAUGACUCAUUUGUUUGUUCUAAUUUUGAUGAUUGGAGUUUUUGGUGUAAAUUCCUCCAACAACCUGUUCCCCUCCUCCUCCACUUUAGCUAUGUAUGCAACCUCAGUUCCAAGUUCGGGCCCUGAGCCCCAACACUAUGG